rnacentral:tRNA from 1 species
GCACAACUCAAACAGUAGAGUACUUGCUUAGCAAGUAGGAGGCCCUGAGUUCAAUUCCCAGUGGUGCA